rfam:Erinaceus europaeus unplaced genomic scaffold scaffold00198, whole genome shotgun sequence
GUAAUUACCUGGUAGAAGACACUAUGAUCAUGAAGGUGGUUUUCCCAGGUAGGCUUUGCCCAUUGCCUUCUGGAUAUGCUGAUCCCUGUGAAUUCCCCAGAUGUAGGAAAAUUAUCUUGCAGAAUUUGUGGCAGUGGGGAACUCUGUUCACACUCUCCUCUG